rnacentral:rRNA from 1 species
UACGAGGGGGGGCGAGCGUUUGUUUCGGAAUUAUUGGGCGUAAAGGGUGCGUAGGCGGUUUGGUAAGUCUUAUGUGAAAUCUACAGGCUCAACUUGUAGUCUGCAUGAGAAACUGCCGGGCUUGAGUAUGGGAGAGGUGAGUGGAAUUCCUGGUGUAGCGGUGAAAUGCGUAGAUAUCAGGAGGAACACCUGUGGCGAAAAGCGGCUCACUGGACCAUAACUGACGCUGAUGCACGAAAAGCUAGGGGGAGCAAACAGG